rnacentral:rRNA from 1 species
UACGAAGGGGGCUAGCGUUGCUCGGAAUCACUGGGCGUAAAGCGCACGUAGGCGGCUUGUUCAGUCAGGGGUGCAAUCCUGGAGCUCAACUCCAGAACUGCCUUUGAUACUGGCAAGCUUGGAGUCCGGGAGAGGUGAGUGGAACUGCGAGUGUAGAGGUGAAAUUCGUAGAUAUUCGCAAGAACACCAGUGGCGAAGGCGGCUCACUGGCCCGGUACUGACGCUGAGGUGCGAAAGCGUGGGGAGCAAACAGG